rnacentral:rRNA from 1 species
AUGAAUUGCUUUGUAAGGAGUUCACUGAGAAGGAAGUUUUGGUUGCCCUCAAUAGUAUUGGUGAUCUCAGGGCUCCUGGACCAGAUGGUAUGCCCUCCUUGUUUUACAAAAAAAAAAUGUUGGGAUAUAGUUGGUGAUAAAGUUCUACAUGAGGUCAUGCAAGUGCUUAAUGGAGGGCCUAUGCCAGCAGAGUGGAAUGAUACUUGUGUGGUUUUUGUUAGAAGGGAGAGAGAGGAAUUGAUGGAAUCGUUGGUUGUAUUGCUUGAGCCUCGUGGGCAUAUACAUAGGAGUACAAUGGUCAUCUUGGCGUACAAGGCAAGCCAGAAUAUUUCCUAG